rnacentral:ncRNA from 1 species
ACCAAGGCGAUGAUUGAAAAAGUACGCUUGCAGAAUAAUUCAGAGAGGCAAUGGCCGGUGAAAAUUGCUAUUAUUCGUAAGGGGAAAGCUAUUCAUGAGCUGCAGACUAUUAUAUCCUGCCAGGGAUAGAAAUUCUGCCGUGAGCCAGCGAUAAUGGCAGCUUAAGUGGCUCUCAGAAGCAGGGCUGAAUAAGGUGGUACCACGGGAAAUUUGCCUCGUCCUUUUG